UACGUAGGGUGCGAGCGUUGUCCGGAAUUACUGGGCGUAAAGAGCUCGUAGGUGGUUUGUCGCGUUGUCCGUGAAAACUCACAACUCAAUUGUGGGCGUGCGGGCGAUACGGGCAGACUGGAGUACUGCAGGGGAGACUGGAAUUCCUGGUGUAGCGGUGGAAUGCGCAGAGUAUCAGGAGGAACACCGGUGGCGAAGGCGGGUCUCGUGGGCCGA
rnacentral:rRNA from 1 species